AUCUUAAAUUAAAAUUAUUGAUGACCCCAGAGAAUUUUUGUUUAUGUGGAUCAUAUAGUUUGAAAAUUUUCUGGAAAUUAAAAAAAAAAAUUAAAAAUCACUUUAACAGGUAAAGAGCUACUUAAUUUGGGUUACCAUAAAUAACAUGAUUAGUGAAAACUAUUUUCCGAAACAAAAAAUUAUAGUGGGAAGAAUGGCUUUGUUUUGCACGAUUGCAGAUAUCUUCAGCGCUUGACUAAAAAGAGGAUAGAUAUAUUCUCGUCCACAUCUGCAUCCAAUCUUUUGCAAGACAUUGUUUUGGCUGAAGUAUAAGGAAGAAAAUCUGCCCCCAUAGAGAUUUGUAACAGUCUCUGGGAACCUCAAGGGGCCCUUGGACCAACCUGAGAACCUCUGUCAUAAAUAAGGCUAAGGAGUUCUGAAACAUCCCACGCUGGUAUAUAGUCUUAUUUUUUUCCUGCUGUUCUUUCUGUAUUGAACAAAUACGAUAAUUAUAUGUGUCAAGUGCAGAAGUCAGGGACUUUUAUAGAUCCAGAGGGGAUGUGAGUAUGUAUGGAUUUUCAUCUGUGAGUCUAAAACUGGUUUGUAGAUAGUUUGUUUGUUUAUUAUUAGUGACAAAAUUAUUUCAUUCCCUAGUUUAAAGUUUUGUUGGUAGGAAAACAAAGGAGCCCUACUGUGGCCUGUUUGAAUGUAAAACCUAGGAAAUUAAGGUACUAAGGACAGUGAAAAUAUGGACACUAUUUUUUAAGUUUCUUCUUUUUGACAAGGAUGAAUGAUAAAGGUGGUAACUUUUAAGAGGGUUUGCUAUUUGGCUAUUGAUUUUAAAUUAAGAUUUGACUACUGUUUUUAUUAAUUUGCAAAACUUGUUUGCUUUUUUUUUUUUAAACAUAAGGCUGCUUCUCCAAAUGCUACAGUUGAGCAAAGAAAUAUGACCUAACAAAAAGGACUUUAUUUCUUAUGUAGUAAUAAAAACUUGAGAUAUUUCAAUUAAUUUAAAGGUGAAUUGUGUUCAAUUUUGGAUGAAGGAAGUAUUUAAUAAGUCUGCUUGAAAGCUCUGGAAUCAGAGAAUUGACAAAAUGUAUGGCUUUUGAAAAAGUAUGACAGAACAUGUGUUUAUUUAUUUAUUUUUUUUAACAAACAUUCAUUGAGCACUUAUUAUGUGCCAGGCGCUGUGUAAGGCACUGCAUGUACAGUUAACAACAUGGGUUUGAACACUGGACUUUUGUUGAUAAACACAAUAUAGUACUUUAUAUUUUCUUCUUCCUCAUUAUUAACAUUCUCUUUGGCUUACCUUUAAGAAUACAGUAUAUAACACAUAUACAACGUAUGUGUUAAUCAACUGUGAUCAGUAAGACUUCUAGUCAGCAUUAGACUAUUAGUACUUAAGUUCUGGGGGAGUCAAAAGUUAGGCAUGGAUUUUUUACUGAGAUGGGGGCACCCCAAAUCCCCACACUGUUCAUGCAUCACCUGUACCUGCUGCCAUUUUGCAGUGAUGCCUUUUAAUGUCACAGUCAAAUAUUUGUUGAAUGAAAAACACUGGGAUACCUCACACAUGUGAUCACUAUUUGGAACAUUUGGGGAAGGGAGAAGACGAUGGUGAUAGGUGUCUGGGAGAGACUCCAGAGCAGAAGCAGAGUCUGUGGACUUAGGUGGGGCACACAGAUGGGCUUCAGAUGGUCCUUGAAUCCCUCUCCAGUUGUGUUCACAUUGUUCUGGGUUCGUGCUCUACUUUCAUCAAAUUCUCAAAAGGGGCUCCUGGUCCAGAAAAGCAUAAGGAUUGUGGAUCUGUUUAGAGGUCAUAACGGUGCAACACCAUCAUCUUACUGGUAAGACACCAAGCUCAAGGAGGCUAGGUGCCUCUAAUCGUGUAGUUAAUUAAUGGAGGUAGAGAUUGAGAUUAUGUCUUGCCCAAGGGACUGUUUUGUCACUCUCCCAUAACUGACUUCUAGAAUUACCAAGUUCAUCUUUAGAACUUAUUUAAAAAUAAUGAUGACAGCCAUCACUUUAUCUCCUAUGAGGUGGUGUCUUUGUGUUUCUUCUGUGGCUGUUGCACUUAACUAGAUCUCAGUGGAAUUCUCACUGCACAGGCAAGGUUUUUCAUCCUUUUGAACAUUCCCCUAGCCUCAUCUGUGAAUUGGUGAUGGAGUCUGCCUCACAGGGUGAGGGGUUUUAGGGACCACAAAUGCAAAGUCAUCAGACAUAGCACAGCUUUUAGGAAUGUUCUCCCUGUCCUCCCUACCUGCAGAGUAGCAGGACAGCAAUAAAUGCAUUAUUAGUCAUGCUCAAUGUAGUGACUAUUGGUUUCUUUUCCUUUUUUAAAAUGUGUGAGGCAUGGGGCUCCUGGGUGGCUCAGUCGGUUAAGCAGCUAACUCUUGAUUUCUUUGGGUCAGGGUCAUGAUCUCAGGAGAGAUCAAGCUCUGCAUUGGGCUUUGUGCUGACAGGGUGGAGCCUGCUUGAGAUUCUCUCUCCCCCCUCCUCCCUCUCCUCCCCUCCCUCAGCCCCCGCCUCUGCCCCUCCCCCACACAUGUGGGCUGACUCUCUCUCAAAUAAAUAAACUUUAUUUAAUUUUUUUUUUCUAAUGUUUAUUUCUUUUUUGAGAAAGAGAGAGUGCAAGCUGGGGAGGUGUAGAGAGAAGGAGACACAGAAUGCGAAGCAGGCUCUAGGCUCUGAGCUGUCAGCACAGAGCCCAACAUGGGGCUCGAACUCACCAACCAUGAGAUCAUGACCUGAGCUGAAGUGGGACAUCUGACCAACUGAGCCACCCAGGCGCCCCUAAAUAAAUAAACUUUAAAAAAUGUGAGGCAGUUGUGAAGAUGCGGGCCGUUACUGAUGUUUCUCAUUGUCGGGAUAAGACUGACCUGAGUCUAUUAUGAACUUGAUUAGUUUCAUGCUAUUCAGUUCAUGAAAGGAGGAGGUGUUUCCACCUAAACGUUUAUGAAUUUGUGUCCUGGCAUAUUUCAAGGGAUUGCCUGGAAAUUAAGGAUAAAACUGAGAUGAGUCACCUAAAAUUUCAAUAUUUAGGCACUGUGGAAAACACUUAAGUUUUCUUAAGCAGUUGUUUCAGCAGAUUUCCUUUUUGGCAAAAUUGAAAACUGUGCUUAAAAAAUCCUCUGGGAAAACUGCUCACUGCAUCACUGCUGUGGGAAGGGUGAACCCUGAAGGAUGGAAGGCUCCAGCAGUUUCUAGGUGGUGGGGAGUGGUCCAUCCCUGUACCGGGCGGAGGGGUCUGUCUACCGUGGAUGCCGUAACUCACUGAGUGGGUACCAGAGCCUGUGUGUAACUAGAGAAAUGUUCAGGUUUUAUCUCCCUGUGCUUACAGUGAAGAUCGGCCGUCAGGCGUCUUUACUCUAAAAAACCAAAAAGCAGAUGGAGAAUAUUUCCUCCCUCCAAAGCUGUUUUCAGACUUCAGUUUGUGCUCUGCAAGUAGGAAACUUAAUGCCCAUCAUUUCGAGUAGGUUUUUGAAAAUUUUAUUUUCCUUUUGGCCCCAUGAUCAUUUUUACCAUUCCUUCUGAAACGUAGUAAGCAACAAACUGUGUGUCCAUCUUUCAGAUGAGAAGAGGUGGAUGUGAGUGCCAGCAGAUAUUCAAGUAACUCACAGGCAAGUCCUGAUCCAGUGCUUUCUAAUUUCUUGUAUUAGAAAGUACCUCAUCUGAGACUGGAGAAGGAAGGGGGACAUUAACAGCGAAGCAGAGCUAAGUGGCUGUACAAAAAGUGUUUUUAAAAAUGAUUUGAAAUAUAGAUUUGAUUUUUGCUAUCACCAGGGUCCUGAUCAGGGGGAAUGAAGUUGUCAUGAGGGCAUUUAAAAGUUACUUUGAAAUAAUCGUAUUUGUUGUGUACGUGUGGUGUGUUUUAUUUUGCUUUACCUGGAGAACGCGGUAGUGGAAGGGCAACCCGGGGACUUAGCAAGAGAGGCCAAGGGUGACUAUAUAGUGCCUCCUCCAGACCACGUAUUUACUGGGUCUGUAGGUCUUCUACCUGGCCACCUUCCUUUCUGAGAGUUCUCCUGACUGAAGCGCUCAUCUGCCUCCGACAGCGCUGAGUUCCUAGAUCGAGGUGCGAGAACACGUGGCUUCUUUCCCACAUUUUGCAUUCAAACCCUAUGAAACAUGGACGCAUACCCUUCAGACCCUCCAGCGCUCCUAGGGCGCGAUGAGGGUGCCAAGUGGACACAUUUCCACACAUCUUCACUCUCUUACACUUCUCGCCGUUGACAAGCGGGGAUCCUGUUAGUUUUAGGGGUUAAAAAUGCAUUUGUUGAAAUGUCAGGCACAAUCUGUGAAUGACCCGUUGGACUGCCGCAAAAAGUACAGCGGCAGGGUGAUGGCUUAAUUGGCACCAGGUGUAGCUGGAGAAGGCACACAGAUGUGAUGGGGGUGCGUCGCUACCUAAUUGUUUUAAUGUUCACCGAGAAGUUAAUUGUCAGUGUAGAGUGUGCUAGCAAAUUAGGUUCCCACUGCCUUAGUGUAACUGAGGAUAAAUGAGGUGUCAUGAGUUUCCAAUCUGUACCUCUGACACAAACACUUUUCCUGCGGGGAGGAGAAAGUUCCCAAGGGGAAUCAGCAUGGCAGCUCAAGAAAUCCAUUUGAAUAAUGUGCAUUAUUUUCACAUUAGGGAAAGCUGUCUAGCUUUUGCUUUCUCCACGAGUGAGUUUUCCUUUCAGAUUUGCUGCUGGUGGCUUCAAGGUUUAGACACGGUUGGCAGAAGAGUUGCUUUGAGGUCUCAGAAUCGAUGAAGGAUACAUGAAGGCUCUGUAACAAGUGUUCUGGUAACACUGACAGUGUAACAUUCCAUUAAACUCGCUUUCUUUCAUAUUUUCUGGAGUUUACCUUCCAGAAUAUCUCCACCGACAUGAACAGCCAUUACUGUUAAAUUGCUAAAGAAAAGUGCAAGUUUUGGAACAAAGGGUAUAAAGACUGGUUUUCAUCUGUAUUGAAGGAUCUGGGUCUCUCUGUCUCAUUUUUGAGUAGAUAUUUAGAGCAUGAAAUAGAAACGUCAUUGUCCAGGGUGGUGAGAAUAAAGGUCAUACAAAGUCCAAAACUUGAUGUACUUGUUUGAUUCAACUGAAUGAACAGUCUCCAGGUCAGCAGGCUCUUAAUGCUUAACAUCGAAAGUUCUUGAAUGAAGGUAUGGUUUAAUAAUUGCAUGUGGAUGUUUAUUUUUGAUUUACAAGAAUAAUACAUUGUCCACUUCUACCCACGAGGUUCAAACACUCUGCCAACUCUCUAGGUGCCAACUUGCACCCAGAGAACUACAGCAGGGAGUAGUCCUGGUAUGUGUUUUUAGAAAACAUGUUUCACCCAGUUGGGAUGACGGGAUCAGGAUCCAGCAGCUCAAGGUAGUGUAUACCACUUGCAAUAGAUCUGCCACUUUUUUUCUUUUCUUCUCUGAGUAGCUCUUUUACUCUUAUAACUGUUCUUAACCGUCACAUCACUGAAUGGGAGGAGAAACGACCCUCAGGGAGUGUAUAUUAAUUGCAGUGAACAACUCGCCUGUUGUCAGGGAAGGUGCACACUGAGAUUUUAUGUUCUCCAGAUAUUUUAAGAGGGAGAGUUCCCUUGGGGAACAUGUUUUCUUUGUCCCUGCACCUCAUCUAUUUAUUUCAUGUAUAGUUUUCUACCUACAGAUGGAGAGAACCGUAUGCCAUGGGGCUGACAGGUCUUGUGGACCCUCUUUCUUCUGACUGGUGGUCAGCAUUGGAGGGGGAUCUUUUUUUUUCUCUAGAGACCUGUCAGAUGUACCUCUCCCUUUACUGUUUUCCUUGGCUCUCUUCUCAUAAGUGUGUGCCACAUGUACAGAAAAUCAUCGCGGUUUUAGAAUUUUUUUUUAUUUUUAAUGGUUUUUUAAAGUUUAUUUAUCCAUUUUGAGAGACUGGGGAGAGGGGCAGAAAGAGGGAGAAUCCUGAGCAGGCUCCACGCUCACAUGGGAGCCCGAUGUGGGGCUCGAUCUCACAAACCUUGAGAUCUCUACCUGAGCUGAAAUCAAGAGUCAGACACUUAACCAGGGUGCCUGGGUGUGUCAGUUGGUUAAGUGUCCAGCUCAGGUCAGAUUUCACAGUUUGUGAGUUUGAGUCCUGCAUUGCAUCGGGCUCCGGGCUGACAGCUUGGAGUCUGCUUGGGAUUCUCAUUCUCUCUCUCUCUCUCUCUCUCUCUGCCCCUCCCCCCACAUGCUAGCGCUCGCUCUCUCUCUCUCUCUCUCUCUCUCUCUCUCUUUCAAAAUAAACAAACAAAAAGUCCGACACAUAACUAGCUGAGCCACCCAGGCACCCCAUGGUUUUAGAAUUUCAGUUUGUUUUGAAGUCAUAAUGUGUUUUUCGACCUUGAUUUGCUCAGAUUUGUAAUCUCCCCUGUGGCUGUGUAAAUCUCCCAAUUUUGAGCUCUUGUGGAAGAUACAGAGUAAAUAAGAUGACUUUGUUUAGUUAAAACAGAAUUUUAAAAACGAAGGGAAACUUACAUGCAGUCUCAAAAAUCCCAGACCUCAGGACAUUUGUGAUAGAAAUUUGCCCAGUAAUUAUCGUUUUUGAAAAUUUCUGGCAGAUAUUUAAAUUUUACCAGCUGCAAGGUGAAAUAAAACAUUGAGUUUCUUGGCUAGAAUUAGAGUAUAUCAGUCCGUGUGAUAACCCUAGUUCUCAUGCGGAUUGAAAAAACUCUGAUUCGCAAUUAAAUAUUUAUUUGGCAGAUUAAAUGUUUGAAAAUGAACUUUACUUGAUGAAUGCUGUUUAAUAGAUUAAAGCCUUUCAAAAUAUGAACGCUGGGAGAAGUCUGGUGGCAACUAAGUCUGCACAGCGGCUAGUGGCCGUGGUUGACAUCACGUGAAGUGAUGCUAUGGGUCCCUGGACUACUUUGAGUUGCCCUCUGCUGACGCCUGUUUUAGUUUGCAUCUUGGGUUGCAAAUGGCAGGAUUCGGGGGUGGAAAGGCAGGAAUUUGGGACUGUCUUGGGGUCAUUUUAAUAUAGAAUGUAAUUUUUAAAAAUAUGUUCACAGUUUUUGUAUGGUGGCAUAAAACCAAGUGUGUGUUUGUGUGUGUGUGUGAGAGAGAGAGAGAGACAGAGACAGAGACUGUUAAGGAAUCUGAGUGUGUGUGUGGGGGGGGGUUGUCAGAGAAAGCAUGCAGCUUGCAUUAGGUAUUGUUCUGUCAUAUUAGAAUGUUAAAUGGGUAGGGGCGCCUGGGUGGCUCAGUCAGUUCAGCAAUGACUUUGGCUCCGGUCAUGAUCUGAAGGUUCAUGGGUUCGACCCCCACUUUGGGCUCUGUGCUGACAGCUCAGAGCCUGGAGCAUGCCUCAGAUUCUGUCUCCUCCUCUCUCUCUGAUCCUCCUUUGCUUGCACCCUAUCUCUCUCUGUCUCUCAAAAAUAAAUAAACGUUAAAAAAAAAAAAAAAGAAUGUUAAAUGGUUAAAUGUUAAUGGUUAACAGAGCCAGUGUGACUUUUAAGUGAUAAGUAUGUGGGGGAAAGUAUUCAAUGUACGUAAGUUACAUAUAAGAAUCACUCCUCUGGGAGUGGAGACACUGAAUAGGAAGAGCUUUGUGACUUUAGAUAAAUUGCCUCCCCUCUCUGGUCAGCCUCCAGAUAAAAGGAGGGGGAUGAAGAGGAUGAAUAGUAAGUCUGUUUAAGGUUGCUUUGGCCUCUUCAAAGGUUUGAUCUAAUUACCAUCUGUAUUUCCAAUGUACAAGUCUAAAAAAAACAGUGAAGCAGCCUUAAGUUAAUGUUGAAUGUGAUACUAUCUUAUCCAAGUCCAGAUCUAACAAAUCAAGAUAGAACUCUAAAUUUUGAAAAAUCCAAAUGAUACUCAGUCACUACCCAGGAAUAAUCUUUUUAUUCUUACAGUGUGUAUAAAAUGGCUCCUAAUGACUAUUACUCACCCUUGAGCUGUGAGGAACAGAAGCUGGUGUGUGAGGAAAGCACAGAGCUCUGGGGGGGUAGGGGGAGCUUAUGGUAUCAUGAGACAGCCACUAAUACCUGUGAAGUCACUUUUGGGUUUCUGGGGAGUGCACAAGGGGACCAUGAAGAUUAGGGUCACCUAGGCAGUAGUUUAACCAAAACAGCUGUUGUUGCCAACAGUGAAGUUCAUUAGGCUGGAACUGUUUGCUUAAAUCAGGAAAAACAAUGAAAGCAGUGUCAGAGCUGGAAGAUGUCGGGGACGGUUACACAGAGGAGACUGGGUUCAUGGGAACAGGGGUAAAAGGAAGUGGUCUGUUUUUGGUGGGGCUGCAGCAUGAACCAGCUACCCCCUGGCUCCUGACUGUGGCUCUCCCAGGCCUUUCCACCCACAGUCUUUGGGGCCUUGUUUUGAAUCCAUUUUAUGGCAUCAAAGGUACCAUGAGACAUUGUGUUUCGUAACUUGUCUGAGUCUGCCAUUUUGAAUGGAGCCAAUUUUCACAUAAGUAGGGGUGCUAAUUACUAGCUGUGUCCAAAUUUAGAGGAACUUCCAGAGCUUUUCAAAACCUAUUCAGAUUAUAGACCUCAUUGAAGCCCUUCAUGCGGGAAUUACAGUAGUAACUUCUAACGUGUAGAAGCAGAGGUAUCAAAGCUUGACAGGCUUAUGGGUCCGGCUAUAGAAAUGUCACUGUUUCUGACAAAUUGCAUUGUUGCUAACAGAAGUGUAGUUUACUUUUAUGUUUACAAUACCACUUGACAUCAUUAAAAAAAAAUAAUAGGAUCCUUAAAAAACUGUCUAUGAAUGGCUGAGUGGUUUGGAUGUCCAUUGCUGGUUAUAGCAGGAAGGCUAUGGAGAGACUUAACUUUAAAAUUGCAUGUGGACACCAAGCCUAUGCUGCAUUCUUCAGGGCACUGGGGCAGCUGUAAAGUUGAGUGCGCUGUGGCACUGCCCUUAAUGCAUCUACCUGGUCAGUGUCUGGACAAGGAGACUUCAGAGCUGAUAACAUCGAAAACACAGGCAGGUGCAUUUAUUGGACGCUGUUUACACCUGAGCACAAGCUGCUCCUCCCCUCCAUGGCUCAGCUUUUAGGAAUACGCAUUAACACUUUCAGGAGUUUUCUUAAGUCUCCUGUGUCCUAUUGGGGGCGGCGGGGGGGGGGGCAGUGAGUCGGGGUCGGAAGGGUUAGUUUUUAUUACAUUUACUAAGGUAAUUAGUUUAGGGAUCCAGCCAGCUCACCUUUCAGCCCCACACACUGUGCUAAAGACAGUACUCGGAGCUACUCUGUAUUGAAUUGCAUGGGUCCCUCCCUCUGCUUUUAUGAAAGCCUCCUGCAUUUGUAUAGCUUGAAUGGUCAUGAAUCAAAGCUCAGCUCACUUCGGUGUCAGCCCCUGCAGUGGGCAAAGAGGCUUCAGAUUGCCUCCUGGUCCCCAGUUUUGAUUUCCUCCUGUGUGUGGUUGAGCUGGGAAUGCUCCCAUGGUGAAGUCCACAGUUUUCACGAGGAGGCUUUGAGAGCCAGCCACCUGGCUAUCAUCUUGGACUGGUUAGGAGCGAAGACCCCCCCCAUCCCCCACCCCGGCUUUUAAAAAUUUGUUUCUGGUACAUGCCAUUGCAUUAGGGGUGGUCUAACUUAAAGGUUUUCCCCAGCCCCUUCCAUUUUAAAUUGUGGCAGAGAAAGGUUACAUAAUUGUCUGUUGGCCCUGGACAUCCUCUUGUUAGUUCUCCUACAUCUUGCAGAAAUUGGGGUUUUCUGGGCUUUGUGAAGGAGAUUUUUGCACAGCUCCUUCAGUAUUGUUCAAGGCAGUAACACAUCACUGAACAAAUUGCCCCCUUGCAUAUGCUAAUCCUGUACUUAAAAGGACUCAUUGUAACUUGUUCUGAUGCUUUAGCCUGAGGGGAGAUGGGAAUUGAAGGGAUGGCAGAUCGUGUCAUGUGACCCCCAAAUACCUAAAAUGCUUGUUUUCUUUGGGUCAACAGUUCCUACUUGGCACUUGCGAAUGAAAGUCUCCUGUGUGGUUGGUAGAAAAGAUUAGUCCUUGCUCCUGCUUUUGUGUGGGGGAGCUGGCCUAGCUGUUGAAGAUUCACUGGCUGAAAUGCCCGCUUUGGGUCUUAAAUUUCAGUGCUAUUGGCAAGGAACACCAAAUCUUAUUUUCAACAGUAAAUUAAAAGAAUUCAAAAGAGUUCCUUCAUUGUUGCUGUGGAAAAUGUGAUUUGCCUUUUAGGAAGCCACGCUGUUAAUCUCACCUGCUCUCUUGGUGUGUGUUUUUUGAGGGGCACACAUUGACUGUUACAGUCACAGAAUACGUCUAAUAGAAUAAUCUCAGGUUCUGCUCAUAGGCCAUUUAUAUUCCUGACCAGGAAAUCGCAGUGGGAAAGAAUAAAAAACACAUCCUCAUGUAAACACCAAGCUCCCAUUUCUCUAACAGUAAAAAGAACGGAAGAACAUUUUAAGUGAGUAGGGCCUGAAGGAUCCACCAGGCUUCAGAUGGUUUGAUUGCAUAGUCAGGGUCUCUCUUUUAAGUGCUUGAACCUCCAUAAAUGUUUGCCAUCAAAGUCUUCAGCCAAGAUGAAUUAAAUGGAAUGAAAGGCUGUGUAGGUAUCACCCUUCUAAUAUAGCUGUUACAUCCAGGUUGGGUUUUCAUGUGUACAAAAAGACCUGGGAAGGAAUCCUUGAUUUUUUUUUUUUUUUUUUUUUUUUU